GUGUCGUAACGGACACCACGUUGGUGGUGGGAAGAGAUGGGGAUAGGGUGAGGCAUGUUGACCGGGGGAGAAAAACUAAAUUAAAAAGGUAGAGGAACCGGAGUGAGAGAGGAGGUGGAGAGAGGAGGUGGAGAGAGAGGAGGUGGAGAGAGAGGCUAGGGAGAAAGAGGAGGUGGAGAAAGAGGAGGUGGAGAGAGAGGAGGAAGGGAAAUAGAGAAGGGGAGGCUUUGGAGAAGGAGGAGAAGAUGAUUUGAAGGAGGAGAGGGUUUGAAGGAGGAGGAGAGGAUUUGAAGGAGGAGGAGAGGAUUUGGAGGAGGAGGAGAGGAUUUGGAGGAGGAGAGGAUGCUGAGAAAAAGCAUAGCAGGGAACAUAAAAGGGAGGUCCUGAAUCACAAAGGAAGUUGAGCUGGUCUUG